rnacentral:rRNA from 1 species
CCUACGGGAGGCAGCAGUAGGGAAUUUUCGGCAAUGGGGGGAACCCUGACCGAGCAACGCCGCGUGAACGAAGAAGUUAUUCGUAAUGUAAAGUUCUUUUAACAGGGAAGAAAGAGCAAUUUGACGGUACCUGAAGAAUAAGCUCCGGCUAACUACGUGCCAGCAGCCGCGGUAAUACGUAGGGAGAGAGCGUUAUCCGGAAUUAUUGGGCGUAAGGGUGCGUAGAUGGCAUAGUAAGUCUUUGGUAAAAAUGCUGGGCUAAACCCAGUAGGGCAAAAGAUACUGCAAAGCUAGAGUAUGACAGAGGCAAGUGGAACUACAGGUGUAGCGGUAAAAUGCGUAAAUAUAUGUAAGAACACCAGUGGCGAAGGCGGCUUGCUGGGUCGAUACUGACAUUGAGGCACGAAAGCGUGGGGAGCAAACAGGAUUAGAUACCCCUGUAGUC